rnacentral:misc_RNA from 1 species
ACAAACUUGGUCAUUUAGAGGAAGUAAAAGUCGUAACAAGGUUUCCGUAGGUGAACCUGCGGAAGGAUCAUUAAAAAAAAUUAGAAUAACUCAUUCUAUAAACCCUUCUGUGUACCUUUUCUUUGUUGCUUCCGCAAGCCGGAUUUAGGUCCGCCCUUUUUCUUCUUUUGUGGUUGAAAGGGGGAGCGUGUUUGCGGGAGGUAAUAUAUAAACUCUUGUUUUUUUUUUUUGCAGUUUGUCUGAAUAAAAUGAUUUAUUAAUCGUUAAAACUUUCAACAACGGAUCUCUUGGUUCUCGCAUCGAUGAAGAACGCAGC